rnacentral:rRNA from 2 species
UUUUAAUUGAAGGCUUGUAUGAAGGGUUGGACAAAGGAUUAGCUGUCUUUAUUUUUAAUUUUGAAUUUGUCUUUUAAGUGAAAAGACUUAAAUAAUUUUAAGGGACGAUAAGACCCUAUAAAUCUUUAUAUUAAUCUAGUUUUAUUUUGAAUUUUAAUGUGAGUAGGAGUAAAAGUAGACAAUAUUAUAUUGGGGUGAUAAGAAUAUAAGAUAAACUGUUCUAAAUUAAAACAAAGUUAUUUGAAGCUAGUAGAUCCUUUUUAGAGAUUAGGAGUUUAAGUUACUUUAGGGAUAACAGCGUUAUUUUUUUUGAGAGUUCUAAUCGAAAAAAAAGUUUGCGACCUCGAUGUUGAAUUAAAAUUUCUUUAUGGUGUAGUCGCUAUAAAAGAGAGUCUGUUCGACUUUUAAAAUUUUACGUGAUCU